rnacentral:rRNA from 1 species
UACAGAGGUCUCAAGCGUUGUUCGGAUUCAUUGGGCGUAAAGGGUGCGUAGGCGGCGCGGUAAGUCGGGUGUGAAAUCUCGGAGCUUAACUCCGAAACUGCAUUCGAUACUGCCGUGCUUGAGGACUGGAGAGGAGACCGGAAUUUACGGUGUAGCGGUGAAAUGCGUAGAUAUGCGGAGGAACACCGAUGGCGAAGGCAAUCCCCUGGACCUGUACUGACGCUCAUGCACGAAAGCG